GCAGUCUGGAGACGCCAUUAUGCACAUAACAAUUAAUAUCAACCAAAAAGAAAAAAAAAAGCAUGAAAUAAUUUACAAAAUGAAGACAUAUAAUCAGUUAAUUUGCAUUAUAAACAACAACAACAACAAAAAAGAGGAGCCAAGCAUUAUGGAAAACAAGAGAAAUAAUUUUUCAUGCAAAACCCAAUUAACGUUAAUUCACACAUAACUUGAGACAUCCUCUGGAAAAUGAAACAUGAACCUGCAAAAGAACCUGCAUGUAUUGUAUCAUUGUGCUCAAAGUCCCUUAACAAUAAACCCACAGUUACCAAGAAUAUUCUACAUGCUUAAAAUAGAUUUCAGGCCUUUCCCCUUUCAACUAUCAAUUUUAGGCAAAACCCUAAUUUUUGCCACUAAAAAGCAAGUUUUCUUCUUGAUACAAGUAGCUCCAUCCGUAGGACAGACUUGUCUUCAUCAGAAUUCCGAGAAGUUGCUCUUGAAAAUCGUGAAGUUCAAGCAGUUCUCUUUGAUUACAGGGUUAAGAGAUCAGUAUUUUCUGGGAAUUAAUCAAGUUCAAAAAAAUUCAGGGUUCACUGGGAAUCUGUCAAAAAGAAAAUUCAAAUGGGCACAUGCUUGUCAAUUAGUCCAGAGUCUUCUGAAGGAGGAGUGCAAAAGAUGAAGCGGCGUGUCAAGAGAGACUGAAUUCUUGGACUCCAUUUUGAAGCAUAUCCCAUUUGUAGUUAUAGUAUGUAGCACUGCCAGUGGCGGACACCUCUCACUUGCUUGCGAGAAGUGGCUUAUUCUGAUUCCUUUCAAUAUCUCAUCUAUCACUCUCUUCUUCUUCAGUUCUUGUUCUUGUUCUUGCAAUUCCUCUUGUUGUUGUAGCUUUUGUUCUUGUUGUGCAUAUAUUUCUACUUCUCCCAGUAAUUCAUCUCCUUUAUACA